rnacentral:lncRNA from 1 species
UAUUGGAAUACCAAGCAGCCACUACCAAUCAAUCAGUUGGCCCAUGAAAGGAAAUCUCUUUGCCAACCACGGUUGAGAGUAGGAGAGUGAUAUAGGUGAAAGUUAUGCAUCGGCACGUGGCUUGAGGCUGGACAGUGGGUUUAUAAGGACUACAUGUAAUAAUGCAUGGAAAGCAUAAAGGACUGGUCCUCAGCACCUUCAAAUCCUCCACAAUAGGGUUUCAUGAACAUGAAUCUAUGAACUCCUCUUCAAAAUCCUGUGCACAAUUUUUUGCCCGGGAUCCAUGACUUUCAUCAGAUUCUCAGAGGAGCCUGGGACUAAAAGAAAAGCAAAAACAGAGCAAAACAAAGCAAGAGAAACUGAACACUUUCUUGUUUAGAGCAGCUCUUCUCCAACUUUAGUGAACCACCUGCCCAUCUUGUUAAAAUGCCAGCUCUAAGCCAGUAGGUCUAGGGAGGAUCAGGCUCUGCAUACUUAAGAAGCUCCUGGUUGGUGCUGCGACUGCUGAUCCAUGGACCCCACUUUGAGUAGUGAGGGUUUAAAGUGUCUUAGUUGUUUGGGCUAUUAUUUGUUAUAACAGGGUAGCCCAUAAACAACAGAUAUUCAUUUCUCCCAGUUCUGGAGGCUGAGAAGUCCAAGAUCAAGGCACUGGCAGAUUCAGCCUCUGGCGAGGGCCUGAUUUCUGGCUCCUAGACAGCAUCGUUUCUGUCUGUCCUACAUGGUGGAAGGGGCUGAAGGCCUUUCUGGGGCCUCUUUUAUAAAAACACUAAUCUGGUUCAUGGGGGCUCCACCCCCAUAAUCUAAUCAUCCUCCCCAGGAACCACCCCUACUACCAUCACCUUGACUGACAGGAUUUCAACAUAUGAAUUUUGGGAGGACAGGAACAUUCAGGUCAUAACAGCGUCCACAUCUUGAUUUUCUUCUGCAGUGUGGAGAGGCACUGUAACAUGCUGAUUAAAAGCAUGAGCUAUCAGGACAGACAGCCUAGGUUUGCUGCCUGGCUUUGUCCCUUCUAUAAUGUUGAUGAAGCUACUGAACUUCUCUCUAUCUCAAUUUCCUCAUCUGUACAAUAGGGGUGAUAACAGUAUCUCGCAAAGAACGUUGCUGUAAGGAAUACAUGAGUUAAAGAGUUUGUAACAAAGCUGGGUGAGGUGCCUGAAGUCCCAGCUACUUGGGAGGUUGAGGUGGGAGUAUCGAUUAAGCCCAGAAGUUUGGGUUCACCCUGGGCAACACAAGACCCUGUCUCUAAAAUAAAUAAACAAAUCCCUAUUUUUCUACCAGCAAAUUUGAACCCAGAAUCCAGAACUGGAUUUUCUUCCAUCUAAGUCCUAAUUCACACACAUAGGACCUGGAGCCAUAAAGAAAGUCGUGGUGCAUGGCUUAUGAAGAGUGGCAAUCAAAGUGGGGUCACCGUGCAGUGUAGCCACUGUCACAUGAGAGAAAGUUUGAGGUGGAACAGAAACUCCAAGUCACAGUUGUGUCUGGCAGCUGAGCCUCCACCCCAGAGCACACACCUUGGUGAGGAGCUGGGCUGGGGAUUCAAAAGACCUCCCACCCAGCAUCAUGCUCUUGCCAUAAUUUUAUUUCUCCUGUUGGCGUGUUGUCUUUGGCACUCAAUUAUCUUAUGAGAAAACAUGUGGAAACUAUGAUUUCCCUCCGACCCUGCUUUUUGGAUCUAGGUUUUUAUUCUUUUUCAGGAAAUCAAAGCAUGUGGCCAAAUACUGAAGCAAGAGGAUGUCUGUUUAUUGGUUUUUUUUUUUUUUUUUUUGAGACGGAGCUUCACUCUUGUUGCCCAGGCUAGAGUACAGUGGUGCCAUCUCGGCUCACUGCAACCUCUGCUUCCUGGGUUCAAGCAAUUCUCCUGCCUCAGCCUUUCGAGUAGCUGGGAUUAACAGGUGCAUGCCACCAUGCCCCGCUAAUUUUUGUAUUUUUAGUAGAGACAGGGUUUCACCAUGUUGGCCAAGCUGGUCUUGAGCUCCUGACCUCAGGUGAUCCUUGGCCUCCCAUAGAGCUG